GGAUUCCAAAUGUCUAUAUCUUCUCCUUUUUUAUUUUGUUUUGCUGUUGUUGUUGUUUCAAAGUAAAGCCAAAUAGACAUAUUUCAUUUCCUGCUUGCUCUUCUCUAGAGCAUUAUACAGUAAAUUUGCAGUGAGGACAUUAAUUGUAAUUUUUAAUUUCUACAUUAAAUGACCUUAUCAGAAAGACAGCGUAGCUUUGAGAAUACCCCAGAGAAAAAACAGCCCUUCACACUGACAGUGUUUCAGCAGUUGUUUGACUCAUUAGGAAUCCAGCAAUGUCACCCACUGAUACCAUCAGUGCUAUCUCUUUCUUCCCUGCAUUCCCAAUCUGGCUUCGCCAUGAGUGGACUGAGAGGCUGGAAGGCCGAGCAAAGCAGGUCCAGGCGCACAUGAAAAAGCAGAAAGAGCAGAUGACGUUGCUGUCUAUUGAGGCUCUUCCCUCACCAGAUAAAACAGUUGCUUAAAGUUACUGUGAAAAUACAAAAAGCCCUGGGCUUGACUCUGACCUUCUGCAUGCCCUUAUUAACCAGUUACAUUGCUGAACAAGCAACAGCUCAGACUUUGGUACUUUUCCAGACCAGUUAUUAGAGCUACUAGUAAAGUCCUACAUAAAUUCAGUGCAAUAAGGCCACAGUACAUAAUCUCUUGAAUACUAUGGAGGGAGAGAUGAGAAGCACUAAUCUGUAAGUCCACAUGAUAUGUUAUUAUCCCAAAGUAGGAAGACUUUAUUAUGUAACUGCAUUUUCAAAUGACAACCAACAUAUUUCUCAGAAAGAGUAUCUCUUGUUUAAUAGGUAUAAUACAUUCAGUUUGCUGCAAGUAAAGUUGUACAUUUCCAUUUACAGAGCUCUCGGACUGGCUUAAUGCAGGUGUCAUCUGCCUUGCCUGUCUUGAGCCACAGCAAAGCAGGUUAAAGAUUAGUCUGGUCAGCUGGACAAAAGAGGAAAUACAUUUUUAAAUGGAAUCAGGAAAAAGAAGGAAUGAGGGUUUUGUGAUCAAUGUAUAGGAGAGUUUCCAGAUCUGAAUCAUUAGUUGAAAAGAGGUAAAGCUUUUUUCUUUGGUGCAUAGAUAUGAAAAAGACUACCGACAUUAUCAUGAACAAGUUUGAGAGAUGUCUGAGUAAGUGGGUAGGUAAGAGAGUUUGAAACAGAAGCCAGUUCAUCACAAAAACACAGGAAUGUUCUGCAAGGUAUUGUUUGCCAUACCUGGUUUGCACUAAUCUAAAUACUUGCUGCAUUGCUUCUCCUUCUAGGUCAGGUGAAAUACAGCAAGGACUAACUAAACAUAGGAUAAUAACAGUGUGCGCUGUUUACUUGUGAGUCUAUGAAUGUAAAUACCAAAACAUCCCUUGAAUGAAAACAUUUACUUCUUAACUCUUUAUUUCUUUGAUGCAGUUAUAUGUCUGAACUAUUUUUCUAUAACAAUAUUGAUCUAGGUGAAAUUAUAACCUUUCAUCAUUGUAUACAAUGAACAAGUAGGUAUGAAUUAAUUUGAUAAAUUCUAAAACAAAGCAAAAAUUAAACCUUUUUGACCUCAUGGAAAUGCUAUUUUUAUCCCCUUAAGACAAUAUUUCAUUAAAACACAGAGUUUUACAGUUUGUUCCCACUUUUACAUAGCGACAUUCUCCCAUAGAAAACAGAAUACUUUAACACAUACACACAAAAAAAAAUGCUAUUUGAUAAAGAAUAAAAACAAUUUAAAACUUCUGCA
rnacentral:lncRNA from 1 species